UACAGAGGGUGCGAGCGUUGUCCGGAAUCACUGGGCGUAAAGGGCGCGUAGGUGGCCUGUGGAAGUCUGCGGUGAAAGCCCGGCGCUCAACGCCGGGUCGGCCGUGGAUACUCUCGGGCUUGAGCUUACUAGAGGCAGAUGGAAUUCCGGGUGUAGCGGUGGAAUGCGUAGAGAUCCGGAAGAACACCGGUGGCGAAGGCGGCCUGCUGGGCAGUUGCUGACACUGAGGCGCGACGAGCGUGGGGGACAAACAGG
rnacentral:rRNA from 1 species